AGAAUGUGGCAGAACAGAAAACAGAAUCUCUAGGUUAUGUUUCGGAAUGUUCAGUGAUGGCAGACAGAACAGGAUGUCAAGCCUAAACAGAACAUCCUCACGAGACAAGAAGAUCUUCCUAUGUCAGAGCACAGUGUUUCUCCCGGGCAGAGAGAUUUCGACAGCAGUGACCACAUCAACCCUAGCCUAACAGCUCCAUGACAGUCCUGGCCUGGGGAGCUCCAUCUUAGAAAUAUAAGUCUGACUCCCAGGGAACACGUUUUGCAAGGUGAUAAGGCCAUGUACCUGGAAAACCCAAGCAACCGUAUUUGAUAAAGCAAAUAACAACUUGAAUUUGAACAAGGAUUUUUGUCAUGUGGACAAGGAACUCGGAAACUAUAAAAUAAAAUAAUACAUGUUAAAAAAUUUAAAUUUUGUAUGGCAAUAGAUAACAUCAUCGACCCUAGAUUGGGGAACAUUACAGAUAGUUCGAGCUAGUAUUAAUAAUGAGAAACGUCUCUUUGUCAUUUAUAAGAACAAGCUCAGCACUCAGAGAACAACGGCAAAGACUGAACAGAAAACUCAAAAGAACAAAUCCAAGUUGGCUAAGAAACAAGAAAAGAUAAUUAUCGUCCUUAGUAAUCAUGGAAAUGCAAAUUACAGCAACAGGAGACACCGUUCUUACCAGGUGGGCAACAAGAAGGGAGAAAAAUACAGGAUUUUUCCAAACAGACUUGGGGAAAGCGACUUGACAGACUCUCUUCACAUGAAAAACCGACAGACCUCUCAACUCAGACAUUCUCCUCUUGAGGCUGUAUUUUGGGGCAAUAAAGGCACAAGAAUGUGAGACCGUGCCUGCGAGGCUGUGGUCCUUCAAGUAAGGAUGUAGGAGAGCCCGUAUUUCCCAAGGAGGAAAACCUGUGAACAAACAUCGACUAGGACUCGCUCUAGUUGCUUGAGGCAGGGACA